UCUUGGUCAUUUAGAGGAAGUAAAAGUCGUAACAAGGUGCCUUUCGGAAGCCUUGCACGCCGAGUCUGCCUUCGGGCAGGCGACAUUCGCCUGGAGCUGGAAGCUUCCCCCCGGGUUCACGGGGGGAACGAUCAGCUGCUGCAUGCCCAAGCCGUGCAGUUCACAGAUCAAACGCGAGUGGCCUGCGCCCGCAGGUUAAGAUAUGACCGUAGCAGCUCUGCGAAGAGUCUGACACUCUAGUUCCGUAGGUGAACCUGCGGAAGGAUCAUUA
rnacentral:rRNA from 1 species